GCAAGAAACAAACAACGAAUGCUGUUACAACAUUUUUCCUCGCGUAAACAAACGCGUAUAGAAACUACGAGUAUGGGAAUUUCGGAUCGAAAUGAACUUAAUCGAAUCUCGUCUUUGUUUCGAAGAUUUAAAAAUCGUGAAUCUUCACGCCAACAGGGGACUAUUUACCAAAAGAAAACAAUUCCCGGUGCUACUCAUUGGCUGUCUGCCAGAGAUGGAAAAAAACUGCUCAAAAGGACUAUUAAGCUGCUCUUAUUUUAUAAGAGAAGAUGCUAGUUGGAAAAUCAGUAGAAGGAAAUGUGAAUAUACCUAUGUGUGAUCGAAGUGUUAGAAGCGAGGCACGCGCAACAAGAAUCCGAAUGUCUUCUUCUUCCGCAAACCUGAAGUAAAUGAUUGUCCAAGGGGCUGGUGAGAUCCUCGA